AGAGUUUGAUCCUGGCUCAGAUUGAACGCUGGCGGCAGGCCUAACACAUGCAAGUCGAGCGGUAACAGAGAUUAGCUUGCUAAUCUGCUGACGAGCGGCGGACGGGUGAGUAAUGCAUAGGAAGUUGCCCAGUAGAGGGGGAUACCAGUUGGAAACGACUGUUAAUACCGCAUAACCUCUUUGGAGCAAAGCAGGGGACCUUCGGGCCUUGCGCUACUGGAUACGCCUAUGUGGGAUUAGCUAGUUGGUGAGGUAAUGGCUCACCAAGGCGACGAUCCCUAGCUGGUCUGAGAGGAUGAUCAGCCACACUGGGACUGAGACACGGCCCAGACUCCUACGGGAGGCAGCAGUGGGGAAUAUUGCACAAUGGGCGAAAGCCUGAUGCAGCCAUGCCGCGUGUAUGAAGAAGGCCUUCGGGUUGUAAAGUACUUUCAGUUGUGAGGAAGGUUGUGUAGUUAAUAGCUGCAUAAUUUGACGUUAGCAACAGAAGAAGCACCGGCUAACUCCGUGCCAGCAGCCGCGGUAAUACGGAGGGU
rnacentral:rRNA from 1 species